AUCCAGCUGACGAGUCCCAAAUUGGAUGAAACGUGCGUCAAACUGGAU
rfam:Schistosoma margrebowiei strain Zambia genome assembly, scaffold: SMRZ_contig0001598